rnacentral:rRNA from 1 species
AUUGAACGCUGGCGGAAUGCCUUACACAUGCAAGUCGAACGGUAGAGGGGGCAACCCCUCGAGAGUGGCGAACGGGUGAGUAAUAUAUCGGAACGUGCCCAGUCGUGGGGGAUAACGUAGCGAAAGUUACGCUAAUACCGCAUACGUACUGAGGUAGAAAGUGGGGGACCUUCGGGCCUCACGCUAUUCGAGCGGCCGACGUCUGAUUAGCUAGUAGGUGAGGCAAAGGCUCACCUAGGCGACGAUCAGUAGCGGGUCUGAGCGGAUGAUCCGCCACACUGGGACUGAGACACGGCCCAGACUCCUACGGGAGGCAGCAGUGGGGAAUUUUGGACAAUGGGCGAAAGCCUGAUCCAGCCAUGCCGCGUGUCUGAAGAAGGCCUUCGGGUUGUAAAGGACUUUUGUCAGGGAGGAAAUCCCUAGUGCUAAUAACACUGGGGGAUGACAGUACCUGAAGAAUAAGCACCGGCUAACUACGUGCCAGCAGCCGCCGUAA